UCGUCGUGACCCUACGCAAAUUUGUGAGC
rnacentral:piRNA from 1 species